GAAGGAAAUCGUCCCCGGUGGGGCGGCUGGUCUUCAAAACCGGUUGGGGCAGCGAGCCUGUCCCGGGUGGGUUCGACUCCCACUUCCUUCC
rnacentral:tRNA from 1 species